rnacentral:piRNA from 1 species
AUGGUUUGACUCUGAAACAAAAUUGAUAAGU